AUUAAUAAGCGGAGGAAAAGAAACUAACAAGGAUUCCCUCAGUAACGGCGAGUGAAGCGGGAAGAGCUCAAAUUUGAAAUCUCCGGUGCUUGCAUCGGCGAGUUGUAAUUGCGAGAAGCACUUUCUAGGCGGAUCGGCCGUGCCUAAGUUGCUUGGAACAGCAGGUCGCAGAGGGUGACAACCCCGUCUGUGGCUCGGCCGGCCGCUGACGAUGUGCUUUCGAAGAGUCGGGUUGUUUGGGAAUGCAGCCCAAAAUGGGUGGUAAACUCCAUCUAAAGCUAAAUACUGGCGUGAGACCGAUAGCGAACAAGUACCGUGAGGGAAAGAUGAAAAGAACUUUGAAAAGAGAGUUAAAAAGUACGUGAAACCGUUGAAAGGGAAACGAAUGGACUCAGCAAUGCGCCGUUUGAGAUUCAGCCGGUGGGCGGCUUCGGCGCCGGGUUUGCGGAUCUGAAUGGACCGCGGCCCGGUGCUCGUGGCUUCCCGCCGUCGCACUUCUCUUGGGCGCGCGUCAACGUCGGUUGGGACUGGGUCUGAAAGGUGCCGGGAAGGUAGGUGUGGGCCUUCGGGUCCGUUCUGUUACAGCCCGGCUCUCUCCUGGCUCGGGCCCGACCGAGGCGUUGCAGGGCAUGCCUCUUGUGGCUAGGGUCCCGUCCUUCCGGCCGGCUGUCGAAUGCGGUGGACUGCUUGCAGUGCUCGGCGAACGCUGCCGGUCGUUGGGGUGGUGAUCUCGUACCAUGCCCUUAGGAUGUUGGCGGUC
rnacentral:rRNA from 1 species